CUGGGUCUGUGGUUGCAAGCCGAUGCCAGUCGCAGGCAAAGCGGUCCACGUAAUCCGUCCAAAGCGGCGGGGAGCAUGGUGCGGUUUAGAAGUAAGUCCGCCCGGGUCUUCGGAUUCGAGAGAAGUGCGUGAGGGCGCAGAUGCGUUGAGCAAGCUUCCAGGCGGCGAGUGUGGGGGCAAAGACCAGGUCAGCCGAG
rnacentral:ncRNA from 1 species